GGGGUAGCCAAAUGCCUCGUCA
rnacentral:misc_RNA from 1 species